rnacentral:rRNA from 1 species
UACGGAGGGAGCUAGCGUUGUUCGGAAUUACUGGGCGUAAAGCGCACGUAGGCGGCUUUGUAAGUUAGAGGUGAAAGCCCGGGGCUCAACCCCGGUAUUGCCUUUAAGACUGCAUCGCUUGAAUCCGGGAGAGGUGAGUGGAAUUCCGAGUGUAGAGGUGAAAUUCGUAGAUAUUCGGAAGAACACCAGUGGCGAAGGCGGCUCACUGGACCGGUAUUGACGCUGAGGUGCGAAAGCGUGGGGAGCAAACAGG